GCAUCGAUGAAGAACGCAGCGAAAUGCGAUAACUAAUGUGAAUUGCAGAAUUCAGUGAAUCAUCGAGUCUUUGAACGCACAUUGCGCCCUCUGGUAUUCCGGAGGGCAUGCCUGUCCGAGCGUCAUUGCUGCCCUCAAGCCCGGCUUGUGUGUUGGGCCCCGUCCCCCCCGCCGGGGGGACGGGCCCGAAAGGCAGCGGCGGCACCGCGUCCGGUCCUCGAGCGUAUGGGGCUUCGUCACCCGCUCGAUUUAGGGCCGGCCGGGCGCCAGCCGACGUCCAACCAUUUUUCUUCAGGUUGACCUCGGAUCAGGUAGGGAUACCCGCUGAACUUAAGCAUAUCAAUAAGCGGAGGA
rnacentral:rRNA from 1 species